GAUGAACGCUGGCGGCGUGCCUAACACAUGCAAGUCGAACGGAAUUUACAUGAAGCCUAGCGAUUGUAAAUUUAGUGGCGGACGGGUGAGUAACGCGUGGGUAACCUGCCUUGUACUGGGGGACAACAGUUGGAAACGACUGCUAAUACCGCAUAAGCGCACAGCUUCGCAUGAAGCAGUGUGAAAAACUCCGGUGGUACAAGAUGGACCCGCGUCUGAUUAGCUGGUUGGUGAGGUAACGGCCCACCAAGGCGACGAUCAGUAGCCGGCCUGAGAGGGUGAACGGCCACAUUGGGACUGAGACACGGCCCAAACUCCUACGGGAGGCAGCAGUGGGGAAUAUUGCACAAUGGGGGAAACCCUGAUGCAGCAACGCCGCGUGAGUGAAGAAGUAUUUCGGUAUGUAAAAGCUCUAUCAGCAGGGAAGAAAAUGACGGUACCUGACUAAGAAGCCCCGGCUAACUACGUGCCAGCAGCCGCGGU
rnacentral:rRNA from 1 species